rnacentral:rRNA from 1 species
UGGGGAAUAUUGCACAAUGGGCGCAAGCCUGAUGCAGCGACGCCGCGUGAUGGAUGAAGGCCUUCGGGUUGUAAACAUCUUUCAGUAGGGAAGAAGCGAAAGUGACGGUACCUGCAGAAGAAGCGCCGGCUAACUACGUGCCAGCAGCCGCGGUAAUACGUAGGGCGCAAGCGUUAUCCGGAAUUAUUGGGCGUAAAGAGCUCGUAGGCGGUUUGUCGCGUCUGCUGUGAAAGCCCGGGGCUCAACCCCGGGUCUGCAGUGGGUACGGGCAGACUAGAGUGCAGUAGGGGAGACUGGAAUUCCUGGUGUAGCGGUGAAAUGCGCAGAUAUCAGGAGGAACACCGAUGGCGAAGGCAGGUCUCUGGGCUGUAACUGACGCUGAGGAGCGAAAGCAUGGGGAGCGAACA